rnacentral:sRNA from 2 species
GCCGGGGUCAUCUGGGGAGUAGCCAGCCGUCCUUCGGGACGGGCCACCGUGUCAACAUACUCGGCCGAGAGGUCGUGGUGCGGUGGAAGCGGGGAACCGCUUGGGCGAGACCAAUGGCAUCGACCUUCGUCCGGGCCGGGCGGCGGGUUUGAUGUCAUUUGGAAUCGCGAAGUC